UGGGGAAUAUUGGGCAAUGGGCGCAAGCCUGACCCAGCAACGCCGCGUGAAGGAAGAAGGCUUUCGGGUUGUAAACUUCUUUUGUCAGGGACGAGUAGAAGACGGUACCUGACGAAUAAGCCACGGCUAACUACGUGCCAGCAGCCGCGGUAAUACGUAGGGGCGAGCGUUAUCCGGAUUCAUUGGGCGUAAAGCGCUCGUAGGCUGCCCGCUAGGUCCGGGGUCAAAUCCGGGGGCUCAACCCCCGCACGCCCCGGAUACCGGCGGGCUUGAGUCGGGUAGGGGAAGGCGGAAUUCCAGGUGUAGCGGUGGAAUGCGCAGAUAUCUGGAAGAACACCGGUGGCGAAGGCGGCCUUCUGGGCCUCGACUGACGCUGAGGAGCGAAAGCUGGGGGAGCGAACAGGAUUAGAUACCCUGGUAGU
rnacentral:rRNA from 1 species